rnacentral:rRNA from 1 species
UACGUAGGGUGCGAGCGUUGUCCGGAAUUAUUGGGCGUAAAGGGCUCGUAGGCGGUUUGUCGCGUCGGGAGUGAAAACACCGGGCUUAACUCGGUGCUUGCUUUCGAUACGGGCAGACUAGAGGCAUGCAGGGGAGAACGGAAUUCCUGGUGUAGCGGUGAAAUGCGCAGAUAUCAGGAGGAACACCGGUGGCGAAGGCAGUUCUCUGGGCAUGUCCUGACGCUGAGGAGCGAAAGUGUGGGGAGCGAACAGG